rnacentral:rRNA from 1 species
CCUACGGGUGGCUGCAGUGGGGAAUAUUGGACAAUGGGCGAAAGCCUGAUCCAGCCAUGCCGCGUGUGUGAAUAAGGCCUUCGGGUUGUAAAGCACUUUCAGUGGGGAAGAAAGCCUUGGGGCUAAUACCCUCGAGGAAGGACAUCACCCACAGAAGAAGCACCGGCUAACUCCGUGCCAGCAGCCGCGGUAAUACGGAGGGUGCGAGCGUUAAUCGGAAUUACUGGGCGUAAAGCGCGCGUAGGCGGUCUGAUAAGCCGGUUGUGAAAGCCCCGGGCUCAACCUGGGAACGGCAUCCGGAACUGUCAGGCUAGAGUGCAGGAGAGGAAGGUAGAAUUCCCGGUGUAGCGGUGAAAUGCGUAGAGAUCGGGAGGAAUACCAGUGGCGAAGGCGGCCUUCUGGACUGACACUGACGCUGAGGUGCGAAAGCGUGGGUAGCAAACAGGAUUAGAUACCCCAGUAGUC